AAAUCUGCAUGCGGAAAAAUGGAAGAGAGGGUGCUUGAUGGGGUUAUUGACGUGUCACGGAACGGGAGCGAGAAGGGAAAGAACAAGGCCAUGGAGUUGUUGAAGAUUGUUAAUGCAAGAAAUGCGCGGUUGGAGUCUUUAUCUUUGUGAAGCCAUUCGUCAUAAAGAAUAUGAGGUUUUAUUUUGUACAUUGCCCUAUAGAUAGAUUUGUGUUGAUUUCAUGUUUGUAUAGGAGCUACAU
rnacentral:lncRNA from 1 species